rnacentral:rRNA from 1 species
AACGAACGCUGGCGGCAUGCCUAACACAUGCAAGUCGAACGAGACCUUCGGGUCUAGUGGCGCACGGGUGCGUAACGCGUGGGAACCUGCCCUUAGGUUCGGAAUAACUCCCCGAAAGGGGUGCUAAUACCGGAUAAUGUCUUCGGACCAAAGAUUUAUCGCCUUUGGAUGGGCCCGCGUUGGAUUAGCUAGUUGGUAGGGUAAAAGCCUACCAAGGCGACGAUCCAUAGCUGGUCUGAGAGGAUGAUCAGCCACACUGGGACUGAGACACGGCCCAGAUCCUGGAGGAGGGGCGCAGGGGGGAUUAUGGGAAAAUGGGUGAAUGCAGAACCCAUUAAGGCCGGGGAGGUAUUAAGGGCCUAAGGGUUGUAAGCCUUUUUACCCCGGGAUGUUAUGAACAUACCCGGAGAAUAAACCCCGGCUUAACUCCUG